rnacentral:rRNA from 1 species
AACGAACGCUGGCGGCAGGCUUAACACAUGCGAGUCGAACGCAUCCUUCGGGGUGAGUGGCAGACGGGUGAGUAACGCGUGGGAACGUGCCCUUCAGUUCGGGAUAACCCAGGGAAACUUGGGCUAAUACCGGAUACGUGCGAGAGCAGAAAGAUUUAUCGCUGAAGGAUCAGCCCGCGUCUGAUUAGCUAGUUGGUGGGGUAAUGGCCCACCAAGGCGACGAUCAGUAGCUGGUCUGAGAGGAUGAUCAGCCACAUUGGGACUGAGACACGGCCCAAACUCCUACGGGUGGCAGCAGUGGGGAAUAUUGGACAAUGGGCGCAAGCCUGAUCCAGCCAUGCCGCGUGAGUGAUGAAGGCCUUAGGGUUGUAAAGCUCUUUCGUCCGGGACGAUAAUGACGGUACCGGAAGAAGAAGCCCCGGCUAACUUCGUGCCAGCAGCCGCAGUAA